ACGGGCAUAUUUCAAUGGUAGAAUGAAGGUCUCCAAAACCUUAGAUCUGGGUUCGAAUCCUAGUGCCCGUG
rnacentral:tRNA from 1 species